ACGAAGGGGGCUAGCGUUGUUCGGAUUUACUGGGCGUAAAGCGCACGUAGGCGGAUUGUUAAGUCGGGGGUGAAAUCCCAGGGCUCAACCCUGGAACUGCCUUCGAUACUGGCAAUCUUGAGUCCGGAAGAGGUGAGUGGAACUCCUAGUGUAGAGGUGGAAUUCGUAGAUAUUAGGAAGAACACCAGUGGCGAAGGCGGCUCACUGGUCCGGUACUGACGCUGAGGUGCGAAAGCGUGGGGAGCAAACAG
rnacentral:rRNA from 1 species